GCCAGCAGCGAAAACACGUUGAAUACGCCAUUUCACAUAUGAUGAAGUAAAGCAACGCUGCGCGUGGUUGGUAUCCAGAUGGGUGACCAUCUGAGAAAUCGCAUUCUGCUGGUU
rfam:Asian citrus Psyllid, Diaphorina citri - Florida Strain, whole genome shotgun sequence.